AUGACUUUGAUCUGCGUCCUCAUCUGGACUCUCCUCUGCUGCUGCUUCACAGAGUCCAGAGGACAGAUCACAGUGACUCAGCCUGGAGCAGUGAGCUCUGCUGUGGGAGGAUCUGUGAGCAUCAAGUGUACGACCAGUCAGAGUGUUUAUGUUUAUAGUGGCUACAGUGACUAUGUUGACGACAUGGAAUACCAGUGUUUAGCCUGGUACCAACAGAAAGAUGGAGGAGUUCCUAAACUGCUCAUUUACUUUGCUAGCACUCGAGAAUCAGGGAUUCCAGCUCGUUUUACAGGCAGUGGAUCAAACUCUGACUUCACUCUGACCAUCAGUGGAGUCCAGGCUGAAGAUGCAGCAGUUUAUUACUGUCUGAGUUAUCAUGAGAUCAACAGUCAAGCUGUGUUCACACAGUGA